UUCUCGCGGAGCCGUGGUGGCGGGUGUGGGUCCUUCGCAGCAGCACAGACAUGCCGUGAGCGCUCGCCAUGCGAGCGCCAACAGAACGGGGCUCACUCUC
rnacentral:RNase_MRP_RNA from 1 species